GAACCGAAAGGGAAUGGGUCAAUAUUCCCCAACCCGGACACGGAGAUAGUCCCCUCGGGGACAAGUGCGGCUUAACGCAACCCGAACUCGGAGACGUCGACGGAGGACCCGGGGAAAGUUGUCUUUUUCUUUAUGAGAUUCGUGUCCCUGGAAUCAGCUCGUCCGGAGAUAGGGACGCUGUCUCCGUAAAAGCACCGCGGCUCUUGCGGUGUCGGUGCGCCUCUGUCGGCCUUGCAAAUCCGAGGGGAGAGUGUGAUUUUCGUGCCGGUCCGUACCCGCAGCAGGUCUCCAAGGUGAACAAGCCUCUAGUCGAUAGAACAAUGUAGGUAAAGAAAUAGAAGCAAGUUCGAUCCGUAACUUCGGGACAAGUUGGCUCUGAGGACUGGGCGGGCUGGGAUCCAGCGGGUGUGGCACUAUUACCGGACUGGGCAGAACUGGCUGGGGCGACUCAGUCCGGUUCGGCCCCGGACCAGCGUCAGGGCCUUCCGUGGAGAAUGUCUCCAGCUGCGCCGCGGACCGUGCAAUCGUGCGGACCGACGGUUUCGGCGGGCAACUAACAGCCGACUCAAGAACUGGCACGGACAAGGGUCGACGUUAAAACAAAGCAUUGCGAUGGCCGGUGAUGAUGAUGACGCAAUGUGAUUUAGUGCUCUGAAUGUCAAAGUGAAGAAAUUCAUCCAAGCGCGGGUAAACGGCGGGAGUAACUAUGACUCUCUUAAGGUAGCCAAAUGCCUCGUCAUCUAAUUAGUGACGCGCAUGAAUGGAUUAACAGUUAACUGUCCUAUCUACUAUCUAUGGAAACCACAGCCAGUUGGGCUUGGCAGAAUCAUGGAAGACCCUGUUGAGCGGCUCUAGUCGACUCUGUGAAGAGACAUGAAGAGGUGUAGUAUACGUGGGAGUCUUCAUUGGCCGUCAGUGAAAUACUACUACUUUCAUCGUCAUCUUUACUAAUUCGGUGAAGCGGAGGUAGGGAUUGAGUUCCCUGAUUUCUGCUGGACGGAAUCUCCGGUCCUCAGCCGGCGAAUCCGCUCCGGGCAGCGUCAGGUUGAAGUUUGACUGGAGCGGUACAUCUGUCAAAAGGUAACGCAGGUGUCCUAAGGCGAGCUCAGCGGGGACGAAACCUCGCGUGAAAUUAAAGGGCAGCUGGCUUGAUCUUGGUCAGUACGAAUACGGACCGCGAAAGCGAGCCUAUCGAUCCUUUUGAUUUUACGAGUUUUUUAUGCAGGGGUCAGAAAAGUACCACAGGGAUAACUGGCUUGUGGCGUAACGUUCAUAGCGACGUCACUUUUGAUCCUUCGAUGUCGGCUCUUCCUAUCAUUGCGAAACGAGAUUCGCCAAGCGUUGUUCACCACUGACAGGUAACGUGAGCUGGGUUAGACCGUCAUUGAGACAGGUUAGUUU